rnacentral:lncRNA from 9 species
UGCAUCCUCAUGGAAGCUAGUCUGAUCUGUUUCUGCUGUGCCAUGACAGGGACUCCUCGUGCUCACAUCUUGAGGGACUUCACCGAUGAGCUGAGAGAAGGAGCCCUGAGAAGAAGCCAGAGCAUGUCCAGGGAGAGAUGAAGCUUUGCGCUCCAUCAUCUUGAGACCAGAGAGGACCUGGCGCAAGGACAGGUGACCAUGCAGUGGACAGCAGGGGAAAGUGGAGAGAGCUUGAGUCCUUGAAUACCCUGUCGAGUCACUGGAUGGACCCCAGGGCCGCUCUGCCUCCCACUGGCCAUUUAGUGAGAGAAUCCACUUGCCUCAUCCUGAAGCCAUCACGAGGUCUUCAUCUUGAAAUACUGUCUGCAAACAGCCACAACAACAAGGUACCAAGUCGCACUGGAAAUCCCUUUGAAACAUCCAGAGACUGAGCGCUUGCCCGCAGCACCUGGAUGCAGGGCCUGACCCGUCACUCGCUUCAGGUGCGUUCACACAGAGCACCCCUCAAGCCACCUCAGGUUUGAACCUGCUUUUUAACAUGUGCGGAACGAAAGAGAACGGAUGUGUCCAGCUCUGACUGAAUCACUCUGUCGUACAGCAGCAAUGAUCACAACCUUGUAAGUCAAUGAAACCUCAAUAAAACUUAAAAAAUAAGAUAGGCGGACUGGAAUAGCUCCAGUGCCAUUCACAUCUACUGAUAAAGCAAGUGCCAUUCUGAUUAGACCCACAUCCAAUUUCGUCUCUUGGACUAUAGUAAUGAAACAAGAUGUAUUUUCACAGGAUGUUUCAGUAUGUCUUCAGUCCUAAUUAUCCACUUUCAAUUAAAAAACAAAAAGCCUCAGCACUGCAA